rnacentral:rRNA from 1 species
AAUUCGAAGCAACGCGAAGGAACCUUAACCAGGUCUUGACAUCCCGAUGUCUAUUUCUAGAGAUAGAAAGUUACUUCGGUACAUCGGUGACAGGUGGUGCAUGGUUGUCGUCAGCUCGUGUCGUGAGAUGUUGGGUUAAGUCCCGCAACGAGCGCAACCCCUAUUGUUAGUUGCCAGCAUUCAGUUGGGCACUCUAAUGAGACUGCCGGUGACAAACCGGAGGAAGGUGGGGAUGACGUCAAGUCCUCAUGGCCCUUAUGGGUAGGGCUUCACACGUCAUACAAUGGUCGGUACAGAGGGUUGCCAACCCGCGAGGGGGAGCUAAUCCCACAAAGCCGAUCGUAGUCCGGAUUGUUCUCUGCAACUCGAGAGCAUGAAGUCGGAAUCGCUAGUAAUCGCGGAUCAGCAUGUCGCGGUGAAUACGUUCCCGGGUCUU